rnacentral:tRNA from 1 species
UAAGAAAUUUAGGAUAAUAUUAAACCAAGAGCCUUCAAAGCUCAAAAUACGGGUGAAACCCCCAUAAUUUCU